rnacentral:rRNA from 1 species
CAGUCGCCGCGGUAAUACGUAGGUCCCGAGCGUUGUCCGGAUUUAUUGGGCGUAAAGCGAGCGCAGGCGGUUAGAUAAGUCUGAAGUUAAAGGCUGUGGCUUAACCAUAGUACGCUUUGGAAACUGUUUAACUUGAGUGCAAGAGGGGAGAGUGGAAUUCCAUGUGUAGCGGUGAAAUGCGUAGAUAUAUGGAGGAACACCGGUGGCGAAAGCGGCUCUCUGGCUUGUAACUGACGCUGAGGCUCGAAAGCGUGGGGAGCAAACAGGAUUAGAUACCCGUGUAGUCCCUGUCUCUUAUACA